CGAGCGCACCCUUGUCCUCAGUUACCAGCACGUUAUGGUGGGCACUCUGGGGAGACUGCCGGUGACAAACCGGAGGAAGGUGGGGACGACGUCAAGUCAUCAUGGCCCUUACGGCCAGGGCUACACACGUGCUACAAUGGUGCAUACAGACGGUUGCCAAGCCGCAAGGUGGAGCUAAUCUGAGAAAGUGCAUCGUAGUCCGGAUUGGGGUCUGCAACUCGACCCCAUGAAGUCGGAAUCGCUAGUAAUCGUGAAUCAGAAUGUCACGGUAAAUACGUUCCCGGGCCUU
rnacentral:rRNA from 1 species